rnacentral:misc_RNA from 1 species
GAUGAAGAACGCAGCGAAAUGCGAUAAGUAAUGUGAAUUGCAGAAUUCAGUGAAUCAUCGAAUCUUUGAACGCACCUUGCGCCCUUUGGCUAUUCCGAAGGGCAUGCCUGUUUGAGUAUCAUGAACACCUCAACUCUCAUGGUUUGCCAUGAUGAGCUAGGACUUUGGGGGUCUUGCCGGCCUAUGGGUCGGCUCCUCUCAAAUUAAUCAGCUUGCCAGUGUUUGGUGGCAUCACAGGUGUGAUAACUAUCUACGCUUGUGGUUUUCCAUCAGGUAACCUUCAGUGAUGGAGGUUCGCUGGGGCUCAUAAAUGUCUCUCCUCAGUGAGGACAGCUUUUUUGAACGUUUGAUCUCAAAUCAGGUAGGACUACCCGCUGAACUUAAGCAUAUCAAUAAGCGGAGGA